rnacentral:rRNA from 1 species
UAGAGUUUGAUCCUGGCUCAGGAUGAACGCUAGCGACAGGCUUAACACAUGCAAGUCGAGGGGCAGCGGUGGUGAAGGCUUGCCUUUACCAGCCGGCGACCGGCGCACGGGUGAGUAACACGUAUGCAACCUGCCUGCCACAGCCGGAUAAUCGGGAGAAAUUCCGUCUAAUACGGCAUAAUGCAUCGACGGGACAUCCUGUUGGUGCCAAAGGUUAAUUCCGGUGGCGGAUGGGCAUGCGUCGCAUUAGUUAGUUGGCGGUGUAACGGACCACCAAGACGACGAUGCGUAGGGGUUCUGAGAGGAAGGUCCCCCACACUGGUACUGAGACACGGACCAGACUCCUACGGGAGGCAGCAGUGAGGAAUAUUGGUCAAUGGGCGGGAGCCUGAACCAGCCAAGUCGCGUGAGGGAUGACGGCCCUAUGGGUUGUAAACCUCUUUUGCCGGGGAGCAAAGUGCCGCACGUGUGCGGUUUGGAGAGUACCCGGAGAAAAAGCAUCGGCUAACUCCGUGCCAGCAGCCGCGGUAAUACGGAGGAUGCGAGCGUUAUCCGGAUUUAUUGGGUUUAAAGGGUGCGUAGGCGGACGCUUAAGUCAGCGGUAAAAUUGCGGGGCUCAACCUCGUCGAGCCGUUGAAACUGGGUGCCUUGAGUGGGCGAGAAGUACGCGGAAUGCGUGGUGUAGCGGUGAAAUGCAUAGAUAUCACGCAGAACUCCGAUUGCGAAGGCAGCGUACCGGCGCCCAACUGACGCUGAAGCACGAAGGCGUGGGUAUCGAACAGGAUUAGAUACCCUGGUAGUCCACGCGGUAAACGAUGAAGGCUAGUUGUCCGGGGGCGAUUGAGUUCUGGCUGACACAGCGAAAGCGUUAAGCAUUCCCCCUGGGGAGGUACGCCGGCAACGGUGAAACUCAAAGGAAUUGACGGGGGCCCGCACAAGCGGAGGAACAUGUGGUUUAAUUCGAGGCAACGCGAAGAACCUUACCCAGCCCUGACAUCCCGGCGGAGACGGGGCAAUGCCCGUCGCCCUUCGGGGCGCCGGAGACAGGUGGUGCAUGGUUGUCGUCAGCUCGUGUCGUGAGAUGUUGGGUCAAGUCCCGCAACGAGCGCAACCCCUGCCCCCAGUAGCCAGCGUAGAGGCGGGCACUCUGGGGGGACUGCCGGGGACAACCCGGAGGAAGGCGGGGACGACGUCAAAUCAUCAUGCCCCUUACGGCUGGGGCUACACACGUGCUACAAUGGGGCCGACAGAGGGAGGCGGACGCGCGAGGCGGAGCGAACCCCAGAAAUGGCGUCUCAGUUCGGACUGCAGUCUGCAACUCGACUGCACGAAGCUGGAAUCGCUAGUAAUCGCGGAUCAGAAUGCCGCGGUGAAUACGUUCCCGGGUCUUGCACACACCGCCCG